GACGAACGCUGGCGGCGUGCUUAACACAUGCAAGUCGAACGGUAAAGCGCCUUCCUUUUUGGUGGGUGUGGUUGCGUGGCGAACGGGUGAAUAACACGAGCGUAACCUGCCCCCUUCUUCUGGAUAACCGCAUGAAAGUGUGGCUAAUACGGGAUAUUCUGCGUCUGUCGCAUGAUGGGUCUGGGACAGAUAUUGUUUCGGUGGGGGCUGGUUUCGCGGCCGAUCAGCGUGUUGGUGGGGUGAUGGCCUUCCAAGGCGGUGACGGGUGGCCGGCCUGAGGGGGAGUGAGGCACGGCUGAGACUGAGACGGGGGGCAGCCGCGGGGGAUAUUGCGCAAUGGGGGAUAGUCUGAUGCAGGGGGGACCCGUGAGGGGUGGAGGCCCUCGGGUGGUGAACCUCUUUCGGUAGUGAAGCAGGUCUGCCUGGGUUGUGGGUGGGUUGACGGUAGCUGGAUAAGAAGCGCCGGCUAACUACGUG
rnacentral:rRNA from 1 species